UACGGAGGGGGCUAGCGUUGUUCGGAAUUACUGGGCGUAAAGCGCACGUAGGCGGCUUUGCAAGUUAGAGGUGAAAGCCUGGGGCUCAACUCCGGAAUUGCCUUUAAAACUGCAUCGCUAGAAUUGUGGAGAGGUAAGUGGAAUUCCGAGUGUAGAGGUGAAAUUCGUAGAUAUUCGGAGGAACACCAGUGGCGAAGGCGGCUCACUGGCUCGAACCUGACGCUGAGGUGCGAAAGCGUGGGGAGCAAACAGG
rnacentral:rRNA from 1 species